UACGUAGGGUGCGAGCGUUGUCCGGAAUUAUUGGGCGUAAAGAGCUCGUAGGCGGCUUGUCGCGUCGGAUGUGAAAACCCGGGGCUCAACUCCGGGCCUGCAGCCGAUACGGGCAGACUAGAGUUCGGCAGGGGAGACUGGAAUUCCUGGUGUAGCGGUGAAAUGCGCAGAUAUCAGGAGGAACACCGGUGGCGAAGGCGGGUCUCUGGGCCGAUACUGACGCUGAGGAGCGAAAGCGUGGGGAGCGAACAGG
rnacentral:rRNA from 1 species